rnacentral:rRNA from 1 species
UACGAAGGACCCGAGCGUUAUCCGGAUUCAUUGGGUUUAAAGGGUGCGUAGGUGGAUUGAUAAGUCAGUGGUGGAAUCUCACGGCUCAACCGUGAAAUUGCCAUUGAUGCUGCCAAUCUUGAGUACAUAUGAUGUGGGCGGAAUGUGCCAUGUAGUGGUGAAAUACUUAGAUAUGGCACAGAACACCGAUUGCGAAGGCAGCUCACAAAACUGUAACUGACACUGAGGCACGAAAGCGUGGGGAUCAAACAGG